UGGGGCUGUGCUAGAGGCUUCUGGGCUUAUCUGCAGUGAGCCUGGGGGCCCUCAAAAGGGUCUGGGGACAGGUAAAAUGGGCCUGGGGUCAUGCAGCAGGGUUCAGGGGCAUCAGAAGGGGCAUUGUGGGCAUCUAAGUUGGCCUGGGGUCCUCUGGAGGUUGCCUCCCUCUUUCUGUCUCUGUUGUUUGUGCCUGGGUGAGAGUUCUCUGCUGUGUUUGUUCUCUCUUUUUGCAGGGAGCUGAACUGCUUUGCCCCAGCCCAGCUGCAGAUCUGCACUCAGCCUCAGCCCCAAGCCCUGGCAGGGUGGGAUGCUUUGGUACCAGGCCGUGGAGCUGUUUGAAAUGCAAUUCCUGCUUGCAGCUGGUUCAGAAAUGGAUUUCCUGUGGCUGUGGGGGCAGAAAUGUCUCUGUGCACACGCUCAGAGGACAGGUCCCUGGAUUGCAGUGCUGCUCCAAUGGCCUGUGGUGGCUGCAGGCAGCCGCGGCCCGGGGAGCCCAAGACUCAGCGUGUGGAAGGGUUGGGAGCAGCCCUGGGUGCCUGCAAGGAUUCGGGAGGCCCGAGCAGGUCUGAAACCCUGCCACGGAGAGGCACAGGCCCCGCAGCAGUGCCUGCAUUUCAGCAGCUGCCCAUCGGAGCUAAGCACAGCCUCGGCUCAGAGGAGCAUGUCUGCUGGGCAGUGCUGGGGGCCAGGCGUCCCUCCUGUGUGUGCAUGGCCCACAUGCCAGCACCUUGCAGUCAGAGCUGACUGUGUGCACUGGAGGUGGAGUGUUGGAGUGGGAUCAGCUCAGAGGUCUGCAAGGUUUGCACUUUGCUUUCCACUCCACUGGCCAAGCCAGCCAGAUGUGCAGCAGCAGCAGGAUGGGCACGAGGGCCCCAGCUGCUGCGGUGAAUCCGUCAGCACGGACGCUGGUGCCGCUGCAGCCUGGCCCUGCAGCCUGGCAGGGUGAUCUCCUUUGGCUCGGCUCCUGUGGGCUCCAGGUAGGGUUUGUCUGUGUCUGCCAGGAGGGAAGGGUUGAAAAGGAGAUUGCUCAGUCAGAGCUCUGACCUAGUAGCUGAAGAUUCUGUCCAAUGCAGAUGCUGACAGAGCAGCUGGAUGAGCAGAAAGCCUCUCGUGCAAACGGCUGUGGAGUGCUUCUCUCUGUUCCCUGCUGCUGGGAGGUGCUGACAGGUUAGGGUUUGCAGGGAGGCAGAUCUCGCGGAGAAGGGCUGAACUCACUGUGCAAGGACACUGCACAAUCCAGUGUGGAUCAAAAGCGAGUGACAACUUUAUUUAGUAGCCACACGCUUAUAUGUGUUACAGAUAAUUUAUGCAUACAUGUAAGAAGCUAAAUGGCUGAAUCCCUAAAUACCCCAUUUGCUCUGCUUGAGUUGUCUGCUGACUCGUCAAGGACAGUGCCUCCCUGGCUAGUUAUAUUAAAUGCUGCCUUUGUUUAUUCAA